rnacentral:rRNA from 1 species
UACGAAGGGGGCUAGCGUUGUUCGGAUUUACUGGGCGUAAAGCGCACGUAGGCGGAUCUUUAAGUCAGAGGUGAAAUCCCAAGGCUCAACCUUGGAACUGCCUUUGAUACUGGGGAUCUUGAGUCCGGGAGAGGUGAGUGGAACUGCGAGUGUAGAGGUGAAAUUCGUAGAUAUUCGCAAGAACACCAGUGGCGAAGGCGGCUCACUGGCCCGGAACUGACGCUGAGACGCGAAAGCGUGGGGAGCAAACAGG